AGAGUUUGAUCAUGGCUCAGAAUCAACGCUGGCGGCGUGCCUAACACAUGCAAGUCGCACGAGAAAGUGGAGCAAUCCAUGAGUAAAGUGGCGCACGGGUGAGUAACACGUGAAUGAUCUACCUCCGAGUGGGGAAUAACCUAGAGAAAUCUGGGCUAAUACCGCAUAACACUUACGAGUCAAAGCAGCAAUGCGCUUGGAGAGGAGUUCGCGGCCGAUUAGUUAGUUGGCGGGGUAAUGGCCCACCAAGACGAUGAUCGGUAUCCGGCCUGAGAGGGCGCACGGACACACUGGAACUGAAACACGGUCCAGACUCCUACGGGAGGCAGCAGUGGGGAAUUUUGCGCAAUGGGGGAAACCCUGACGCAGCAACGCCGCGUGGAGGAUGAAAUCCCUUGGGAUGUAAACUCCUUUCGAUCGGGACGAUUAUGACGGUACCGGAAGAAGAAGCCCCGGCUAACUUCGUGCCAGCAGCCGCGGUAAUACGAGGGGGGCAAGCGUUGUUCGGAAUUAUUGGGCGUAAAGGGCGCGUAGGCGGUUUGACAAGUCUGAUGUGAAAUCUCUGGGCUCAACCCAGAGUCUGCAUUAGAAACUGUCGGGCUUGAGUAUGGGAGAGGUGAGUGGAAUUUCCGGUGUAGCGGUGAAAUGCGUAGAUAUCGGAAGGAACACCUGUGGCGAAAGCGGCUCACUGGACCAUAACUGACGCUGAGGCGCGAAAGCUAGGGGAGCAAACAGGAUUAGAUACCCUAGUAGUCC
rnacentral:rRNA from 1 species